UUGAGUUGAUUUCAAAAGUGCGCAUGCUCACAUAUUAUUUAUGCCAGUUAUUUGCAGCUGACGUAAUAUUCUCACCAGGUUGUAGAGAAAAUUAGCCGUACUGUAUACAAUCUAUCUGUGCUGGUAUAAAUAUUUCUCCUUUCAUUUAGAUCCAGACGAUUGAUCGUGGUUUUCAAUUAUUCUUUCUUCUAUUCUUAUUUCGUUUGUUAAAUCUAGCUUUAAAAUUAAGGAAUGUGAAUGUAUGUGUAAUCAGCGGUUCAUAUAAUUAUAUAGCAAGAAAUAUCCGAAAUCAGUUUCAAAGUUGCAUCGCAUGAUGGAUGUGCGUCUUGUUGUAUAUUGGAUGUUGCACAACGAAUCUCAGAUGUAGUUUUACCAAAUUUUCAGUGAAGAGAACGAGUAGAAAAAUGAUGAUUAUAUUAAGAAAAAUACGUUUGGUCUUGUUCUGCCCCAUAUUUUCAGAGAGGAAAGCCAGACAAAUGCUGAUUAAAACUUUUCUUGUUUUGCCUGACACAAAAAUACUGAUUUCCCGUGAAAUCGACGCAUAAACUUGCGGCUUUGAAAUUUGGGUGUAAAACGAUUAUCUCCAAUUUUUGGCACAACGUUGGCUGUGUUAUAACCUGUUCCAUGUUGGUCGAUUGCUGCACUCUUUUUGGUUAUUCGUUGUUCUAUAGCGAUUUUAAUUUGAAUUGUUAUGAUAUAGUUUACACAGCCGUUACGACAAGUGCACACGGCAGAUCAGGAGAACCAUUAAAUAGCAGAAAGCGCCCGCACGCGUGUUUGUCAUUUUACUUAUGAAGAUUCGCUAUGUCACAUAUAAAAAAAUGAAAACUGUACACUUUUGGUUUUAUAGAAUACUUGUGUUUCUGUUUAGUCGUGAAACUACACGCCUCUAAGAAUAGUUGCGAAUGUUAUACCUCAAAUUCAAAGUCUCCAAUCAAAGACAAGCUUGUGCCACGUGGGCAUAAAAUUUAUCAUCGAAUCCCGCCUUACGUCAUCGUUUUUGACUUAAGCGGGUUGACUUGACUCAUGACGAUUUGGUCGUGUCACCCGGGAGACAUGAUUCGCGUAAACCACGCGCGGCGAUUAUACUUUAAAAAAUCUCGGUUUUUUGUGAACAUUUUGAAACAAAUUUCGAAAAAUGUUGUUAUCAAUAUUCCAAACUAUAUGUGAUUCGACAGAAAGGCGACGAUACUUAAUCCAAAAAUAAAACGUCGAAGGCAAGUCUCAACUUUUACAUGUUUAACUUGGAGGCUUUUAAUUUUCGGAACAAUAGAUAUUUCAUAGACCCUCUGCUCGAGGGAUUCGGCGAAAUAUUACCCUCGAAGAUGAUAUUUCCUUACUAACUUUGGGUAAUAUUUCUACGAAUCCCCAUCGCUCCAGGUCUAUCAAUGAUAAAUGUCCGAUCUACCAAACGCACGUCUAUCGUAUGAUGUAGCUUUAAACACUGAUAUAGGUGUAUCCACAUGUAAUCUGUGAAUUAUAGUAAGAAGGUACAGUAUAUCAGACACUUAUUUACUCCGAGGCUGUGACGGAUUUGACAGAAUUAGCAAACUCCUUUCAAGCUGAGCUCAUAUGAAUCAGCAAAUGAGAGAACAAAUGAGAAAGCAAUACAUAAAUUUCACCCGUUGAAUUACGUCUGAUUUUCUGAAUUUAUCCACAAUUUCCUGAGCUUCUUAUGGAAAUUUGAGAAUUCAGAUAAUUUGAUGUUCAUAUCUUUCACUGUACUCUGUCCUGGUCCUUGUCCUUUGUAUUUGUGAAAGAGAUGUAAUUAUCGAACAAAGUGGUUCAAAACAAAUAAUCAAAAAUAUAUUUUACAGUAUUAUGUUAAACGCAGUUUGUUUUUUUGCCCGACCUCUUAGUGCAAGUUCCCUAUUACUUGCACACAAUUCUCAUAGCUUGCAAACAAGAUGUGUUCGCAUGGCUUGUUACGUGCUGUUAACAAGCCUGGGAAAAGUUGUUAUCAUCUUGUAACUAGGUUGAUGAGGCCAACAGAUUGGUAACAAGUUGUUGCAACAUGUCUGAUAUCGUCUGCUUGCACGUACAGUAACAAGUAACAAGUUGAUGACAACACGCUUGUAGCAACUUGUUCACGAACAGCCUGUAAUAGUCUUGUUGGACAUCAUCAACUUUCUGAGAAGGUCAUCAAAACUUGUUCUAGGCUUCUCGAAACAACUGGAAUCGCGAACACAUGAGAUGGGCUUGACAACAAUUACGUUGUUACAACUUGUUUUCAAGUCUGUAACAACUUGUGUGUUUUCACGCGUCUGUAUUCCUAAACCAGCCUUUUAUUAAAUAAGUAAUAUAUUCUAACUAAAUGAUAUACUUACAUUUGGUCAAUAUUCUGUAACGUACUCCGUUUUAGAUACAUAAUUGUGUAAAAUUUGCUUAGUGAAAAUUAAUUAAAAUACUUAACUCUGAUG